AUGUGUGUGUACAUGUACACCUGUGUGUAUAGGCUAGGGGUGACAUCAUAUGUGCCACACACA
rnacentral:miRNA from 1 species